rnacentral:rRNA from 1 species
GUGGGGAAUAUUCCGCAGUGGACGAAAGUCUGACGGAGCAACGCCGCGUGAGUGAUGAAGGUUUUCGGACUGUAAAGCUCUGUUGUUUAGGACGAAAGUGCCUGUUGCAAAUAGUUACAGGUAUUGACGGUACUGAACGAGGAAGCCACGGCUAACUACGUGCCAGCAGCCGCGGUAAUACGUAGGUGGCAAGCGUUGUCCGGAAUUAUUGGGCGUAAAGAGCAUGUAGGCGGGAAUCUAAGUCUGUUGUGAAAAUGCGGGGCUCAACCCCGUAUUGCGAUGGAAACUGGGUUUCGUGAGUGCAGGAGAGGAAAGGGGAAUUCCCAGUGUAGCGGUGAAAUGCGUAGAUAUUGGGAGGAACACCAGUGGCGAAGGCGCCUUUCUGGACUGUGUCUGACGCUGAGAUGCGAAAGCCAGGGUAGCGAACGGGAUUAGAUACCCUUGUAGUCC